AAAAUAGCUAUCAGGAUAGAUAAAAUUAAAAGAUCAAAGCUGUGCAUUUAUGUACAUUUGACCAUAUUACAUUAAGCUACAUUAGCUACAGUAACUUUACAUUGCACUAAUUAGUGCCAUUGACCAGAAUAGUCCCUGAACUUGGGGAUAGAUUGUCAAUAGAAACAGUAUAUUAAAAGGAGAGCGUUAUUUCUAGGUGUGCUGAGCUCAAAGAGGAAAUAGAUCAUACCUUCACACCUUCACACUUCUUCCUUCCACGGCCACCUCUCCUUGGACAAUCUUUGACAAGCAGCAGGGUAUGUUUAAAAUCCUUAACAGUGUCGGCCUUGUCAUCCGUUGCCUGAUUAACAAGCGUCGGGAGCGAGGCCUAAUCAGCUCCCUCAGUCAGUCGCAAGCGUGUCGGCCAUCAUUAAGUGACCUCACACGUGUGCCGGAUCCCGGCGGGGAGAGGACAGACGGUCCGGCCUGAUCCCGGGAGCUGAGGUGUAUGAAGAGAUCCUUACCCCCACAGACAAGAGCCCAUGUCGACAAGCCUCCCGGAUAUGUCAGCUAUAGGCGCAGAGAGAAAGAAGACCAUGUUUCAUCUCAACAUCCAAAAAGAAUGAUGGUCUGGAUAAUGUGGCACCGCUCUAAUAGAUGAGGAAAAGAUGAAGUCGGAGGUGAAAUUCCAGGUUGACGCCAUCCCCUCAUCAGGAUGGAUUCGUCUCACGUCAGGUUACGCAGGGCGCAGCUACGAUAUAGCCUGCUUUCAGUCUCAUCCGGGACGCCUUCACCACGCUGACCCCUUUAGUCACGGAAGACUCUGUCUUUGCGGCUCCAGAAAGGGAUCCCGGCGUGGGGAAAGGAUUCCGGGACGAGACAGAUGAUGCUUGAAAGCCAUCAGUGUUAUGAAUUAGAAUGAGAUGCUAAUGUUUUGGGAUGUGAUGGUUAGCCGGGAUAGACAUGUAAUAUGUUACACCUGUUAGCUGUGAC